rnacentral:rRNA from 1 species
GACGAACGCUGGCGGCGUGCUUAACACAUGCAAGUCGAACGGAAAGGCCCUGCUUGCGGGGUACUCGAGUGGCGAACGGGUGAGUAACACGUGGGUGAUCUGCCCUGCACUUCGGGAUAAGCCUGGGAAACUGGGUCUAAUACCGGAUAGGAGCCAUUUUUAUUGUGAUGGUUGGAAAGUUUUUUCGGUGUGGGAUGAGCUCGCGGCCUAUCAGCUUGUUGGUGGGGUAGUGGCCUACCAAGGCGGCGACGGGUAGCCGGCCUGAGAGGGUGGCCGGCCACAUGGGGACUGAGAUACGGCCCAGACUCCUACGGGAGGCAGCAGUGGGGAAUAUUGCACAAUGGGCGGAAGCCUGAUGAAGCAACGCCGCGUGGGGAUGACGGCCUUCGGGUUGUAAACUCCUUUCGCUAGGGACGAAGCUUUUUGUGACGGUACCUAGAUAAGAAGCACCGGCUAACUACGUG